ensembl:lncRNA
GGGCUACAGGGAGGCAGGAGAGUGAAGUGGUAGUGGGACAUGGCCGUGGACUGGUGGGCUUCCAUCCCCACCAGAGUUGCCUGCAUCCAGUGCUGUGCUCAGCUAGAAGAAGGCUAUUUCUUUCUGGUGGGCUCAUGGAAGAGCCAGGUCCCCUCCAGAGCUGGCUGGGAACAGAAAUUACACUGCACAAAAAGACAUUCACCCUCGGAAAAAGACCAGUCAUCAGCCUGCAUCAGAAUGAAAAUGGAGAGUUUCAAAAUGUUUCCAAAUGCAAUGACAUACCACAAAUAGCCCAGAAGUCAGGCCAUUGCUCCGGGCAUGGGAGAGCUGAGCUCAUGGCCUUCCUGACACACUACUCCACUCAUCGGGCAGCAAAGUCCCUCUUGGAGACUCCCAAAGGGGGUUGAAUGGCAUCUUGGCAGAGAGCCCGGGCCACCAACACGGCACUCUGCAAGGUCCUCCUUCCCAACCACAGGCUCCACCCGCAAUAAUCUGAAAAAUGCAUCUCAGUGCUAAAAGCCAUUGCAAAACGUCCUCGGGAGAAAAAUCUGUGAACUCAGAUUGAGCACAAAGCAGUGAUGUCUUGGGAAUUGUAUGUAUACCACAUGGCUGGAACCAGAGGGUCCUGAAGGAAUCUGGGUUGAUCUUGUCCUUCAGCCCUCCCCAAAGCACCAAGUGACACGGACCUUUGGGCUGCUGUAUCCUCCUAUAGAAUCAUAGAAUAGUGAAGGAUGGAAAUGACUGUUAAGAUCUAGUCCAACCUACGCAACUUUUCCAACCAGCACACCCACGUGGUACACACAAGCCCAUCUAAGGGCUCCAUUUCAUGAACCGGACUUCUUUUUGAUGUGAAACAAAGGAUGUCCAGCUUCAGAGAGCUCUCCCGUGUGGGCUUCUGCAUGCCACGCAGCAGUUCCUGCACAGAACGAGAGCACGCUACGUGGAUCAACCUUGCAGUGGCCUAUUUAUCACUCUGUAACACACUGCCCUCCGUGUUUCUCCACCAGACACGACAUCAAGAAACCUGACCCUGAGCAGGCACCAAACCCAGGUGAGGGGCUCCAGGGUCUUAUUUCAAUUCUCCUUCACCAUCCUCUGCCGCCUCCACUAUCUGAUGCUGUGCAAAUGUUCCCAGGCUCCACGAAGGCUUCGCCUUGCUCAGUCCCAUCUCUGAUUUCCAUGGUGCAUCAGAAAAGAAGAGGAUGACUCCUUUGACCCCCCUGCUGUGUGUUCAUUUCAAUGUGAGAAGGGGAAGUGCAAAGUGUCUGCAGAGCACGGGUAGAUUAAAAAUCUCCAUGGGUGCAAGGGCAGAGCAGAUAGAAGAGUCCACAGAGUGUUCCUGAGAACAUAACAAUGAUGCCUGGCUCAGGAAGACUCCAAGCUGAAGGUUGUGGGAGGGUGGGAGAUGGUGAGAGAACACCGUGUGUGCUUACCCAUCUUUGUUCCCUUCUCCAGCAUCUGCUCUGGGCUCUGCUGGGAGAGGGACGGUUCCACCCAGCCUGCCUGGCCCUGCGUCCCACUCAGCACCAGAGAAAAGCAGCUCAAAAAAUGUCAUGUGCUGGAAAGAAGAAGCAUAUGGAGCUUGAAGAUAUCCAUUGUCUCCAAAUCCUAUACUCAAAGAAUGACCCUUUGUUGCCCUGCACUCAUCACUGGGUAGCAUGGGCUGCUCAUGAGCCUUCCCUUUCGCCUAGGUUGCCAGUAUCAGUACUAUUGUGGGGAACUCAUCCACGCUAACAUAACUGGUCCUUGAAUGAUUUGUUUGCACCCCAGAUCAAUGCAGAAUGAUGAUCAUUCCAUCCAGAGAUGGCCCAAGGGCACGUGCUGCUGCCACACUGCCUAUGUGCACUCACUCCCUGGUGUUACCGCUUCCCUCAACCAAAAUCUGUUUGAAAUAAACUGUAUAUUUUUUCUGGCAAAAAUAAAAAAUAAAGAAGUUCAGAUGCCACCAGAUGG